AAAAUACCAUACAAAUAUCAAGAUACAGGAGAGAGAGAAAACUUGGAGACAGCACUAAUCAGGGUUAGAUGGGUUAGUACCUCCAUAGUCCUUGUUCUUGACAUCUAUGUAAGAGUCAGGCAAAACCCAGAGAACUCCAGGCAAACCUGUGGAAAUUUCAAAACUGAGCUGUUAGUGUCUUGGAGGAUUAAAGCUAUAACUGAUCACUAACUCACCCUUGAACUUCUCAGAUGUUUCUUCAUCAAUGGUGCACUGGAAUCCAGUAUACGUGGUGGUACUGAAUGCAUACAUGUUCUUCUUUGCCUCUUCCAUGCUGGAGAACAGACACAAAUAUACACUCAACAAUCACAUGGAACGAAUUGGUUAUACUGGAAAACUGACACAAGUACACUAAUUGCUUACAACAGCAGCACGAUAGUGUAGAUAAGAUUCAAGUUCUCUACAAAAAACAGCCAGCAGCAACAAAUGAACUGAAGAUUCAAGUUCUCUACAAACUACAAAGACAGCCAGCAGUAACAAAAGAACCGAAGAUUCAUUUCACCACUCUAUCCAGGAAAUUCUACUCACGAGUCCAAAUCUAAAGUUUGAGUCUUUACUUGCUUAUAGUGUCCAGACUCCACCACAUCAACUUUUUAACAAAGAGACACCAUUUGACAACAUCUUCAAUUCAUACAUAGCUUGAAGAAAACGUGCAAAAACAGAAUCUUUCAAUUCUAAUAACACUAACUAGUGCCAGUUUGAAUGCU